GCUUACCAUGCAAGUCGAACGGGACUGCUAUGAAGGAGUUUUCGGACAACGGAUUAGUAGUUUAGUGGCGGACUGGUGAGUAACGCGUGAGGAACCUGCCUUUCAGAGGGGGACAACAGCUGGAAACGGCUGCUAAUACCGCAUGAUAUAUUUGAGUGGCAUCACUCGGAUAUCAAAGAUUUAUCGCUGAAGGAUGGCCUCGCGUCUGAUUAGCUAGUUGGUGAGGUAACGGCCCACCAAGGCGACGAUCAGUAGCCGGACUGAGAGGUUGACCGGCCACAUUGGGACUGAGAUACGGCCCAGACUCCUACGGGAGGCAGCAGUGGGGAAUAUUGGGCAAUGGGCGAAAGCCUGACCCAGCAACGCCGCGUGAAGGAAGAAGGCUUUCGGGUUGUAAACUUCUUUGACAGGGGAAGAGUAGAAGACGGUACCCUGAAAACAAGCCACGGCUAACUACGUGCCAGCAGCCGCGGUAAUACGUAGGUGGCAAGCGUUGUCCGGAUUUACUGGGUGUAAAGGGCGUGCAGCCGGGAAGGCAAGUCAGAUGUGAAAUCCGUGGGCUUAACCCACGAACUGCAUUUGAAACUGCUUUUCUUGAGUAUCGGAGAGGUAAUCGGAAUUCCUAGUGUAGCGGUGAAAUGCGUAGAUAUUAGGAAGAACACCAGUGGCGAAGGCGGAUUACUGGACGACAACUGACGGUGAGGCGCGAAAGCGUGGGGAGCAAACAGGAUUAGAUACCCUGGUAGUCCGCGCUGUAAACGAUCGAUACUAGGUGUGCGGGGACUGACCCCCUGCGUGCCGCAGUUAACACAAUAAGUAUCGCACCUGGGGAGUACGAUCGCAAGGUUGAAACUCAAAGGAAUUGACGGGGGCCCGCACAAGCGGUGGAUUAUGUGGUUUAAUUCGAAGCAACGCGAAGAACCUUACCAGGACUUGACAUCCUACUAACGAGGUAGAGAUACGUCAGUGCCCUUCGGGGAAAGUAGAGACAGGUGGUGCAUGGGUUGUCGUCAGCUCGUGUCGUGAGAUGUGGGG
rnacentral:rRNA from 1 species